rnacentral:rRNA from 1 species
CUAACAAGGAUUCCCUUAGUAACUGCGAGUGAAGAGGGAAAAGCUCAAAUUUAAAAUCUGGCAGCAUUUUGUUGUCCGAGUUGUAACCUAGAGAAGUGUAACCUGUGCUGGACCGUGUAUAAGUUUCCUGGAAUGGAGCAUCACAGAGGGUGAGAAUCCCGUCUUUGACAUGGACUACCAGUGCAUUGUGGUUGUGCUCUCAACGAGUCGAGUUGUUUGGGAAUGCAGCUCUAAAUGGGUGGUAAAUUCCAUCUAAAGCUAAAUAUUGGCGAGAGACCGAUAGCGAACAAGUACCGUGAGGGAAAGAUGAAAAGAACUUUGGAAAGAGAGUUAAACAGUAUGUGAAAUUGUUGAAAGGGAAACGUUUGAAGUCAGUCGCGUUAGCUGGGGAUCAGCCUGACAUUGUUGGGUGCACUUCCUGGUUGACGGGCCAACAUCAGUUUUGACUGCCAGAAAAAGGCCAAGGGAAUGUGGCACCUUUGGGUGUGUUAUAGCCUUUGGUCAUAUAUGGUGGUUGGGACUGAGGAAUGCAGUGUGCCGAAAGGCCGGGUUUCGACCACGUUCACACUGAGGAUGUUGGCAUAAUGGCUUUAAGCGACCCGUCUUGAAACACGGACCAAGGAGUCUAACAUGCAUGCGAGUGUUUGGGUGGAAAACCCUUACGCGUAAUGAAAGUGAAAGUUGAGAUCCCUGUCAUGGGGAGCAUCGACGCCCGGACCAGAACUUUUGGGACGGAUCUGCGGUAGAGCACGUAUGUUGGGACCCGAAAGAUGGUGAACUAUGCCUGAAUAGGGUGAAGCCAGAGGAAACUCUGGUGGAGGCUCGUAGCGAUUCUGACGUGCAAAUCGAUCGUCAAAUUUGGGUAUAGGGGCGAAAGACUAAUCG